GCAGUCUGCCGGUCUGUCGCUCACUUUCGGGUGUGAGGAAAGUCCGGGCAACAUAGAGCACCAUACUUCUUAACGAGAAGCUGUCCGUGAGGGUAGAGUAACGUAACAGAGAAUAACCGCCGGCCUCGUCCGGUAAGGGUGAAAAGGUGAGGUAAGAGCUCACCGGAUCCCGUAGCGAUACGGGAUGCCGUACGUCUUAUGGGUUGUAAGGUCAUGUAUACCGGCGCAUGUAGGAUGGCUCGUCCGAUGCCGAGGGGUAGACCGCUAAAGCUUACCGGCAACGGUAAGACAAGAUAAAUGGCAGACACCUCUUUCCAAAGAGGUACAGGACCCGGCUUAUAGGUAGACUGCUUUU
rnacentral:RNase_P_RNA from 1 species